AAGAGAAGUUUAACUGAAUCUCUGAGUGGCAAGAGUCAGGAGAGGUUUAACUGAAUAUAGAAGGAGAAGAAGUAUUUACAUUAGAAGUCUGAUUCACAGGUCGGGGCAAAGUGAAAAACAUCUGCACUUUUAAAAGAGAGGUCAAAAGUCCGUCUGACUCACCUGUGCUGAGUGACUUGAAUGCCAUCUAAUCUAACUUCAAGAUCAUCAGGAUACUUGCCAACAAGGUCACAGUGGACUCCAUGGAGCAACUGCCCUCAGGAGGCAACAGGUUCUUUUUGAGGGGAGUCUCUCUGAUGCUUGGAAUGAAUCCUGCUGAAUCAAUGCUGAUGCUUGGAGAUCUUCAAGUCUUUUCCCUUUUUCCCAUUGCUCAUGAUGUCUAUAUAACCUCCAAACAUGCAUCCCACUCCUCUGCCGAAAGACCAUUUUUUUAUAUCUUCAGUGAUGGUCUAGGCCAGGUUAAUUGACUUUUCUUUUUUCUUAAGCCAACUAAAGUCCUCACCACAAA
rnacentral:lncRNA from 1 species